UACGGAGGGUGCAAGCGUUAUCCGGAAUGAUUGGGCGUAAAGAGUUCGUAGGUGGUGAUUCAAGUCGAUUGUUAAAGAGCGGGGCUUAACCGCGUAAAAGCAGUGGAUACUGAAUCGCUAGAGAGAGGUAGGGGUAGAGGGAAUUCCCGGUGUAGCGGUGAAAUGCGUAGAGAUCGGGAAGAACACCAGUGGCGAAGGCGCUCUACUGGACAUCAUCUGACGCUGAGGGACGAAAGCUAGGGGAGCGAAAGGG
rnacentral:rRNA from 1 species